rnacentral:rRNA from 1 species
GACAUAGGUGGCGAACGUUAUCCGGAAUUAUUGGGCGUAAAGGGUGCGUAGAUGGCCUGAUAAGUUAGCAGUGGGAAAUCGAGGCUCAACCUCGUGGAAGCUGGUAAUACUGUCAGGCUCGAGUGCAGGAGAGGUUAACGGAACUCCAUGUGGAGCGGUAAAAUGUGUAGAUAUAUGGAAGAACACCAAUAACGGCGAAGGCAGUUAACUAUUCUGUUACUGACAUUGAGGCACGAAAGCGUGGGGAGCAAAACGG